UAUAUCGUCGUCGUCAUCCAAAUCGACUUAAUCAAAACAAUAGAAGUUUUGAUCGGUUUCCAGAUCAAAUAGAUAUCUCGUCAUCGUCUUCUUCUUCGUCCUGAGAUGUUUCCUUCUUGGUUUCACGAAACCUUGUAUCAGUGUUGGUCUGGUGAUGUGAGUCAAGUUUUCUAUCAAGAGAGCUGCUGUCAGGAUUUAGCGUGCAAAGCGGCGGAGGGAUGAUCCAGAUGAAGAUAUGGAUGCAGAGACUAAGUGGGCUUUAAAAUACUUGCCACAUGGACAAACAAGUUGAAGCUAAAGACUCAGAGAAGAGUGAUUCUUUGGUGGUUCUUAAAUAAAGGUCAGGGCGCGGGGAACUAUAGGGCAAGUAAAAGCAGACAGAGUUGUAGAGGACGAGAUCACUUGGUACUGUGUUUUUGUUGCUUUGCAGAUCAUUUGUUUCAUUCUUCUCUUCUCUUUCUCACGGUAAUUACAAUUUCUAUAUUUGAUUUUGACUGAAAUUGAUUGAUGCUUUUGGGAGUAAUUUUAGUUAUGUAAUUGACAUUUUUC